rnacentral:rRNA from 1 species
AGGACAAACGCUGGCGGCGUGCCUAAGACAUGUAAGUCGGACGGGGGGCUUCGGCCUCUAGUGGCGGACGGGUGAGGAGCGCGUGGAUGACCUGCCCCGUGAUGGGGGAUACCAGCCAGAAAUGGCUGUUAAGACCGCAUGAGACCCACUGGUGCGAGCUGGUGGGGGAAAGCCGAAAGGCGUCAUGGGAGGGGUCCGCGUCGGAUUAGCUAGUUGGUGGGGUAAAAGCCUACCAAGGCGACGAUCCGUAGCUGGUCUGAGAGGACGGCCAGCCACACUGGGACUGAGACACGGCCCAGACUCCUACGGGAGGCAGCAGUUAGGGAAUUUUGACAAUGGGCGCAAGCCUGAUCGAGUGACGCCGCGUGCGGGAGGACGCCGUUUCGGGGUGUAAACCGUCUUUUCCCUGGGACGAGCAAGGACGGUACCGAGGGGAAUAAGCCUCGGCUAACUACGCGCCAGCAGCCGC